rnacentral:rRNA from 1 species
GAUGAACGCUGGCGGCGUGCCUAAUACAUGCAAGUCGAGCGAACGGACGAGAAGCUUGCUUCUCUGAUGUUAGCGGCGGACGGGUGAGUAACACGUGGAUAACCUACCUAUAAGACUGGGAUAACUUCGGGAAACCGGAGCUAAUACCGGAUAAUAUUUUGAACCGCAUGGUUCAAAGGUGAAAGACGGUCUUGCUGUCACUUAUAGAUGGAUCCGCGCUGCAUUAGCUAGAUGGUAAGGUAACGGCUUACCAAGGCAACGAUGCAUAGCCGACCUGAGAGGGUGAUCGGCCACACUGGAACUGAGACACGGUCCAGACUCCUACGGGAGGCAGCAGUAGGGAAUCUUCCGCAAUGGGCGAAAGCCUGACGGAGCAACGCCGCGUGAGUGAUGAAGGUCUUCGGAUCGUAAAACUCUGUUAUUAGGGAAGAACAUAUGUGUAAGUAACUGUGCACAUCUUGACGGUACCUAAUCAGAAAGCCACGGCUAACUACGUG